ACGCAAUAGAUACCCUGGUAGUCCACGCCCUAAACGAUGUCUACUAGUUGUCGGGUCUUAAUUGACUUGGUAAACGCAGCUAAACGCGUGAAGUAGACCGCCUGGGGAGUACGGUCGCAAGAUUAAAACUCAAAGGAAUUGACGGGGACCCGCACAAGCGGUGGAUGAUGUGGAUUAAAUUCGAUGCAACGCGAAAAACCUUACCUACCCUUGACAUGGAUGGAAUCCUUGAGAGAUUGAGGAGUGCCCGAAAGGGAACCAUUACACAGGUGCUGCAUGGCUGUCGUCAGCUCGUGUCGUGAGAUGUUGGGUUAAGUCCCGCAACGAGCGCAACCCUUGUCAUUAGUUGCUACGAAAGGGCACUCUAAUGAGACUGCCGGUGACAAACCGGAGGAAGGUGGGGAUGACGUCAAGUCCUCAUGGCCCUUAUGGGUAGGGCUUCACACGUCAUACAAUGGUACAUACAGAGGGCC
rnacentral:rRNA from 1 species